AUGGCGGCGGCUGCGGCAAGGUCCGGAUCCCGGCGCUUGUUCUCCAUAUCCGCCCUGGUGCCACCGAAGCCGCCGACCCCUCCCCCGAAGGCAGACCCCUUCGCCAGCCUCUUCGCCCCCGGGUUAAGCAAGCGAACAACAACUGAUGGACUUAGGGAAGCUUUUGCAAAGUCUGGUGAAGUUGUGCAUGCAUCAUCUGUAAAAAAUUCAAGGUGGUAUAUGAUCAAUGCAAACCGUUCAGGUCCUUUGACAGUGCGUAAAGAAUACCGCAAAGUGCUUCCUUCUUUCAUAAGGCCAUCUGCAUCUUACUCCACAGAAGCCUCAGAAAAAAGACCAAAACAGGAGAGAACAGACUUGACGACUGUUGAAGAUCCCUUUAAUGCCCCUACCUACAAUAUACCUGAGAAGCCAGUGACAUUUGUCGAGGGCGCCUCUUACAGUGUUGUAAUACUUGCUGGGCUUGGAGUUGCUGCAUUGGCUGGAUAUGCUGUUUUCAAAGAGCUUAUAUUUGAACCAAAAGAGUACAAGAUUUUUGGGAAAGCUCUAGUAAGAGUUCAGAGUGAUAGUCAGGUUACAGCCAAAAUUGGUUACCCUAUAACUGGUUAUGGUACGGAAUCCAGAAACCGCGCAGCUCGGCAGCGCAUCCAAAACAGGGUUUGGACAGAUGAGGAUGGUGUUGAACAUGUGGAGGUAGGCUUUCACAUCCGAGGGCCGCAUGGAGCUGGAAAGGUCUUUGCGGAGAUGUUCAAAGAUAGCUCCGACAGGACAUGGAAGUUCACGUUUCUUCUCGUCGAGAUUACGUCACCGCGACCUGCACAAAUCAUGUUAGAAUCUUACCUACCAGCAUAG
rnacentral:rRNA from 1 species